GCCUGGCUGGCUCAGUCGGUAGAGCGUGGGACUCUCGAUCUCAGGGUUGUGAGUUCAAGUCCCACGUUGGGCA